ACCGACCACACUGACCAAGGUUUAUAUAUAUAUAUAUAUAUAUAUAUAUAUAUAUAUAUAUAUAUAUAUAUAUAUAUAUAUAUAUAUAUAUAUAUAUAUAUAUAUAUAUAUAUAAUAGGUAGGUUAUUAUACAAGACCUUGUGUUCUUACCCAACCAUCAAUUCAAAGCAAUUAGAGCUGUCAAAUUACUACAAUACCGGGGUUAUAGCUAAUUUGAAUUUGAAAGGGUUCCGCAGUUGGGUUUUUUAUAUACACUGUAGAUGACUAAAUGGUUCAAUAUUAAUGAAUUCGAAUCAACACAAAUUAAAUAAAACUUAACUGAGUGUACGAUCUAAUCGUUUUAGUGCCGUUGGGAAUCAACUUUGAAGCGUUCCAACUCUUCUAACGUCGUGAAAGCCCAAACGCGGGAAGAUUGGUUUUCGUCUUUUCGUAGAAAGACUUUGUCCAUCCUGAGCCAGACAAAUUUGAAAUGAUUCUCCCUCUUGAAUGUGUGGGACUUUCUGUGUGAGACUUUCAUUGAUGUGUAACAUUGAGUCUUGCUGGAAACCAAGAUCUCGAGCAUUUUUAGUUAACCUCAGAGAUAAUGCUUCAGAUUAAUUAAAAAUUUG